UACGUAGGGUGCGAGCGUUAAUCGGAAUUACUGGGCGUAAAGGGUUCGCAGGCGGCGUCGCAAGUCAGGCGUGAAAUCCCCGGGCUUAACCUGGGAACUGCACUUGAAACUACGAUGCUGGAGUAUGGCAGAGGGAGGUGGAAUUCCACGUGUAGCGGUGAAAUGCGUAGAGAUGUGGAGGAACACCGAUGGCGAAGGCAGCCUCCUGGGCCAAUACUGACGCUCAUGCACGAAAGCGUGGGGAGCAAACAGG
rnacentral:rRNA from 1 species